CCCUGCAUCCUCCCACUGAGUUACAUUGUUAUAUUUACUUGAAGACGUCAUGUCUUUCUUUGAUCUCCUUUUAGACCCCUCCUGUGAUUAUAUAAGUUCACCACAAGGGGGAGCCCUUGGACUAGCCCACAUGGGCUUUGGUUUCCUGUAAACAGCUUAUAUUAGAGACUCGUAAUGUUGUCCCAAAUACGAAACCUUAACUCUCCUCCAGAUGGUUUUUGCAGAGCGAGGUGAGACUAUCUCUGUGGGUAAUUUCCAUGGAGAAUACCCAGCCAAGGUAGUCACAGACAAACAGAUUCACUCCAUACAAUAAACUCCUUGGUUCCUUCAGUACUGUUCCCCCUCUUUCCUAGACUGGUUAUAGAUAUGCUUGUAUUGCCUUACCAAUGAUCACAGGAGUUGGCAAGGCAGCACAAACUGAUCUGGGACAAGGCUAACCCUCUCUCUCCCCAGGCUCUAGACUACCUGGUCAUCGAGGUCCAUGAGCUGGCCAGUAUGAGUGAGAUGAGGACAGAGAGGCUGGUCAACCCCUCCCUCAGUGAACUGCCUGCCUUCCUGGUCCAAGACGGAGGCUUCAACUCUGGCUUCAUGAUUGCACACUGCACUGCUGCCGCCCUUGGUGUGUGUGUGUGUGUGUGUGUGUGUCUCUGCUCCUCUGCAGUAUCUGAGAGCAAGGCGUUGUGCCACCAGUCCUCCGUGGACUCCCUGUCCAACAGCGCAGCUACUGAAGACCACGUCUCCAUGGGGGGCUGGGCCGCUAGAAAGGCCCUGAGGGUGGUGGAACACGUAGAGCAAGUUCUGGCCAUAGAGCUGCCUGUCAAGCCCUGGAGUUUCUCCGCCUGCUCAAGUCCACUACCCCCCUGGAGAAAGUCCAUGAGCUAGUGCGUUCUUUUGUCAGGCCUUGGGAUCAUGACCGUCAAAUGAGUCCUGACAUCGAGGCUGCUCACACGCUCCUCAGGGAGGAAAAGGCAAAAGACUCACCC